rnacentral:lncRNA from 1 species
CUGGAGAUGCAAUCCUGGGAAGCAUCCUCAAUCCAGAGGCACGGAACAGCAUAGCAGAGGACCUGGGUGAUCUCAACACGAGUAGAAGUGAUUAAAUCGAAGAGAGCCGGCACAGCAAGGUCGCACACGGCAGGAAGGAGAAGGUGAAUUUCUGCUGUCAGCUGGGAAUGGAGCAGGAGGAAAAACGUCGGAGUGACCCAGUUAAUGGGUGUCAAUCAAGGGGUGGUGGAGCUGGGAGUGGAAGCACUCUGCAGUUCUGCUGAUGUUUGUUGCACAGCACCAAGCUGUCUCCUCCCACACAGCUCCUGGAGGUCCGGGCACAUGCUCCAGGAGGAUUCCCCAAGUGACCCGUGGAAGAGGCCCCUUUAUAGCAGCUGGACCGAAGCAGGAGAACUCAGAGCUCCCUCCACCUGAGAGUGAUAAGUGAUUUUGUCCACUUUUCAUCCCCGUUACCUCUUUUCAUCCAUACAUCACCUCUAUGCUGUCCAUCCUGGUCACUGAGGGCCACAACCCACUGCUGGCACCCAGCAAUGCCCCACAGCAGCCCUGCAUUGGGCACUGCUCUCCUGAGCACUGGUACAGUUGGGAAUGGAAUGAGAGCACUCCUUGGGACUCUGCCUGCUGCU